AGGGUUCGAUCCUGGCUCAGGAUGAACGCUAGCGGCAGGCUUAACACAUGCAAGUCGAGGGGUAACAGGGAUUGCUUGCAAUCCGCUGACGACCGGCGCACGGGUGCGUAACGCGUAUGCAACCUACCUUUUACAAGGGGAUAGCCCAGAGAAAUUUGGAAUAAUACCCUAUACGAUCAUCAAUUGGCAUCAAUUAAUGAAGAAAACUCCGGUGGUAAAAGAUGGGCAUGCGUCCUAUUAGUUAGUUGGUAAGGUAACGGCUUACCAAGACUUCGAUAGGUAGGGGUCCUGAGAGGGAGAUCCCCCACACUGGUACUGAGACACGGACCAGACUCCUACGGGAGGCAGCAGUGAGGAAUAUUGGACAAUGGAGGCAACUCUGAUCCAGCCAUGCCGCGUGCAGGAUGACGGCCCUACGGGUUGUAAACUGCUUUUAUACAGGAAGAACUAUAUCUACGUGUAGAUAUUUGACGGUACUGUACGAAUAAGGAUCGGCUAACUCCGUGCCAGCCGCCGCGGUAAUAC
rnacentral:rRNA from 1 species